ensembl:lncRNA
CCCCAGCUCUACCAUCUCCACCACCACAACCACCACCAUCACCUCCCAAACCCCCAGCUCUACCAUCUCCACCACCACAACCACCACCAUCACCACCCAAACCCCCAGCUCUACCAUCUCCACCACCCUCCCAAAACAACCACAUCUCUCCUGCUAACACCACCACCAGCAGCAGCUGUGAAGACAGACCCAGCCAUUGGAAACCGUAUGGAAAUGAGUUGGUUCCAGAGGACGAUGUAAACACUGUACUUGAAGAUCCUUCGGUUUGAACGGUGCAGGUGAUGAAGCAGCCAUGUUGAAUAUGUGAUUCUGUGUUCCAUUCUUUGCCUCAUCAGAAGGUGAAGUGGAGGGAGACUCUGCUUGUCUAAGGCACGUGUUGUUCUGGGUGUUGAAGUCUGUUGGUGUUGGAGGGGGACCAUAUGAUCUGUGGUACUGUACUAGUAAAGGGGACCAUAUGAUCUGUGGUACUGUACUAGUAAAGGGGACCAUAUGAUCAUAUGUACUAGUAAAGGGGGCCUUUGGAUUCCCACCUACCGUCUUCAGAGAUGUUACAGCAGUUAAUGUCCAACAUGCAUCCUUUUAGAAAUACUCCCUGACAUGGGCAGUAUGGCUCCGACCCACACCUUGCUUUAUUAUUCUUUUUUGUAUUUUUGUAUUCUUCUUGUUUUUUUCGACCGACUGUAAACAAUUAGCUGGAAAUGCUGCCGGUGAGGUUUUGGUAUCCCUUUGUGCUUUAUUUUGAAGACACCAUGGAAGCUAGUGGCCUUAUUGCACUGUCACCAGUCCACCACAGGACAUCACCAGAUACACAUUACAUCAUCAGUCAGAUAUAUGACAUCAUCAGACAGACACAUGGCAUCACCAUGACAUCACCACCCAGUGGGCAGCUCCUUCAACAUGUGAGCCAAUCAGCUUUCAUCUUCCAGGCGCAGGUUAAUGCCAUUGCGCACAGCUUCCUCUGUGUGUGUGUGUGUGUGUGUGUAUAUAUAAAGAGAGAGAAUAAUAUUUAUGAAUCUAUUUUUUCCUAUUUUGUGAUGAGAAUUAUUCAUAAGAAACAACUAAAAAGGUUAUUGUUUCUCCUAUGUGGGGCGCUGCCAUAUUGCUAUGAAGGGAAGUGUUACUUAACAUAAUAUUAGUUCAAUAAAAUCUUAAGAGAGGACGUGAAACAGUUUAAACACCACAUAAAAUAUUUGAGAGGAUGUGAAAUAGUUUAAACACCACAUUAAGGUUUGGAGAGGAUGUGAAACAGUUUAAACACCACAAUAAGGUUUGGAGAGGAUGUGAAACCAGAAUAUUCCCAUAAGGCUCUGGUCAAAGUACUGAGUUAUAUAGGGUAUGCCAUUUAGUAUGCAUCCCACUUAGUGGUUUGUUGAGGAUGUGACCAUAGAUUGUGUUAAACAGUUAGCCACCAAAUGGUGAGGGGAUGAUGUGAACAUUGAGGAUGUGACCAUUGAAGACGAUGUGAACACUGAGGAUGUGACUAUUAAGGAUGAUGUAACCAGUGAGGAUGUGACCUGUGAGGAUGUGACCGGUGAGGAUGUGACCAGUGAGGAUGUGACCAGUGAGGAUGUGACCAGUGAGGAUGUAACCAGAAAGGAUGUGACCAGUGAGGAUGUGUAUAGUGAUCUACCUCAGCCUGUCAUUUCCUCUUUAACACAUUUUGUAUCAAUGCCUUAUCAACUGAUCCUUUUCAACAAUUUUUUAUUUUAUUUUAUUUUUUAAUAAAAAAAAAACAAAGAUCAAGAAAAAACCUUUUAGUCUAAAAACUCUUCAGGUCCAGCCGACUAGUAAUUUAAGGAUGGGUGUCUCAUUUGGCGCCCUGUGACCUCUGCGGUUAGGGUCAGUACAAGGGCACUAUGAAGGAAUGGGUCAAUUUGGGCUGCUGACCAAGCCUCUGUCAUAUACAUAGAAGAAAAUGUAAUUUUAAACUGUAGUAGUUAGAAGCAGUUGGACUGACUGGUGGGACCGGACCUGGCUUCAGUACAGCACUAGACUUCAUCAGUCCACAGGAAUGAAGACAAUUUAAAGGGUUAUACCUGGUUGUUGUUGUUAACUGCACACAAGGUCCAAUUGAAAAUGUACUUCCCCUUUUAACCCAGCAUCUUCUAUCUGAGGAGGUGCAGGGGGCAGUCACAUUGAACACCUGAGGAGGUGCUGGGGGCCGUCACAUUGAACACCAGAGGAGGUGGUGGGGGCCAUCACAUUGAAUACCUGAGGAGGUGCAGGGGGCUGUCACAUUGAACACCUGAGGAGCCAUUAGGUGGAGUCAGUCUUGCAACCUUUUGAGUAUGGCUAAAUUAUUUAAAGUGGUAUACUUGAGGUAAAGGGGUAUAGCGGACUGUUUGAAAGGGGUACACCUGAUUUAAAAGGGGAAACAUGAUUUGAAGGAGCACACCACCUUAAAAAAAGGUAUUUAGUAUAUCUGCCAAAUGAAGUGGUUCUGGAUGUGGAUCUUGUGUGAAGGGUUGGCUAACAUGUCAUGAUAUGUUGUUUCUGAUCAAACAAAGAAUCCCUGAAAGAAAGCAACAACUUGAACCCCCAGUGGCUUUUAAAAAAUGUUGGUUAUUAUAAUUAUUCACAAUAUGUAUUUAUUGCUGUGAGUGAGCCAUACCCAUGACACCAGCUCUGUUGGAAUGUAUAACUAUGUCAAAUGAAGAACUUAGAAACGUGAAAACUGUAUCCCAAAUUGCACCCUUUUCCCUUUUGUAGUGCACUACAUCUGCCCUAUGAGCCCUGUCCUAUCUAGGGUCCCUCGUCAACAGUGGUGCACUGCUGAUGUUAUAUCAUCAUUUGAUCAUUUUACUGUUGCAGGAAAUUCUACCUGCAGUGUUUAAAGUUUAAAAAUGCUAAUUCCCUUUUUUAGAUUUUCAAACUUGAUUGGCCCUAAACGAAAAUCUAUCAACCUCUACAAAAAUGUCGUCCAUCAUAACCAACAAACCAACAUUACAGUUGACGUUUCCUGUGGCUGCAGAAUGUUUACCAGCUUUGUGGACAUGGAGACAUGGCACCUGCACGCAGGGAAAAGGAGCCACUUUGAGCUGCAGCCACAGUCUGACAUACCAUGUACUGGACAACGGAGUGUCUUCUCUGGAGAACAUGGCUAGUACUCUGCCUAUUGGUCGAGCCAUCCCUGUGGGCAUGCAGGGAGGCAACUGUAUAUCUGUAAAACAUGUACAAUCGGGUCUGAAUGCAUAGACUCUUCUUCUGUCUCUCUCUAUAACCCAACACUUAACCUGUCUGCAUCUGGCUGCGCUGUGAGACACACUGGUCUGUGAUUGGUUGCAGCUCAAAUGGCACACUAAGAAGUGCACUAGUAUUCAGCGGAGCCAUGUGGCCCCUGCCUGUAGGGCCUUAUGUAUGGAAUAGAAUGCCAUUUGAGGCCCCACCAGCGGCUUAUUUCAAACUGAACCAGACAUCUUCUCAUCCACUCGCUAUUCCUUUCCACUGCUGUUGUUGCUGUAUUCUGAAGUAAGUUACCUCUCCGAAUGAAUCUAAAGCUGACUUACUAGUUACUAAAACUGAACCAAUGUAGGGCAAGUUGAAACUGAAUUAAAUAAAAUGGAAUAUAGUGAAAGUUUAGCAUCUCUAUUUUGGAGUAUUUUUUCACAGUUUAAUAAUUGUUUUUGUUGUUUUCGGGUGAGGUGGCAUAGCUGAAGUAUCAGUCUCUUCAGUCCCCCUAUCUCCUCAUUGUCCUCCAUGUACCCCACCUCCUCACUGUCCUCCAUGUAUCCCAUCUCCUCCAUGAACCCACCUCCUCAUUGUCCUCCAUGUACCCCACCUCCUCAUUGUCCUCCAUGUACCCCACCUCCUCAUUGUCCUCCAUGUACCCCACCUCCUCAUUGUCUUCCAUAUACCCCUCCUUCUCAUUGUCCUCCAUGUACCCCAUCUCCAUGCACCCCAUCACCUCAUUGUCCUCCAUGUACCCAUCUCCUCAUUGUCCUCCAUGUACCCACCUCCUCAUUGUCCUCCAUAUACCCCUCCUCCUCAUUGUCCUCCAUGUACCCCAUCUCCAUGCACCCCAUCACCUCAUUGUCCUCCAUGUACCCCACCUCCUCAUUGUCCUCCAUGUACCCCACCUCCUCAUUGUCCUCCAUGUACCCCACCUCCUCAUUGUCCUCCAUGUAUCCCAUCUCCUCAUUGUCCUCCUUGUACCCCAUCUCCUCGUUGUCCUCCAUGUACCCCUCCUCCUAUUUGUCCUCCAUAUACCCCUCCUCCUCGUUGUCCUCCAUGUACCCCAUCUCCUCGUUGUCUUCCAUGUACCCCAUCUCCUCGUUGUCUUCCAUGUACCCCACCUCCUCAUUGUCCUCCAUGUACCCCAUCUCCUCGUUGUCUUCCAUGUACCCCAUCUCCUCAUUGUCCUCCAUGUACCCCAUCUCCUCGUUGUCUUCCAUGUACCCCAUCUCCUCGUUGUCCACCAUGUACCCCAUCUCCUCAUUGUCUUCCAUGUACCCCAUCUCCUCGUUGUCUUCCAUGUACCCCAUCUCCUCGUUGUCCUCCAUGUACACCAUCUCCUCGUUGUCUUCCAUGUACCCCAUCUCCUCGUUGUCUUCCAUGUACCCCAUCUCCUCGUUGUCCUCCAUGUACCCCACCUCCUCGUUGUCCUCCAUGUACCCCAUCUCCUCAUUGUCUUCCAUGUACCCCACCUCCUCGUUGUCUUCCAUGUACCCCACCUCCUCAUUGUCCUCUUUCUCCUUAUCUUCCCCUUAGUCAGACAAAACUUUAUCUGAAAGGACUGACUUGAUAUAUUGCACAUACAGUGGGGAGAACAAGUAUUUGAUAUACUGCAAAUGUUGCAGGUUUUCCUACUUACAAAGCAUGUAGAGGUUUGUAGAGGUCAUUUUUAUUAUAGGUACAUUUCAACUGUGAGAUACAUAAUCUAAAACAAAAAUCCAGAAAAUCACAUUGUAUGAUUUUUUUAUAAUUGAGUUACAUUUUAUUGCAUGACAUAAGUAUUUGAUCACCUACCAACCAGUAAGAAUUCCGGCUCUCACUGACCUGUUAGUUUUUCUUCAAGAAGACACCUGUCCACACACUCAAUCAAACAGACUCCAACCUCUCCGCAAUGGCCAAGACCAGAGAGCUGUGUAAGGACAUCAGGGAUAAAAUUGUAGACCUGCACAAGGCUGGGAUGGGCUACAGGACAAUAGGCAAGCAGCUUGGUGAGAAGACAACAAUUGUUGGCGCAAUUAUUAGAAAAUGGAAGAAGCUCAAGAUGACGGUCCAUCUCCCUCGGUCUGGGGCUGCAUGGAAGAUCUCACCUCGUGGGGCAUCAAUGAUCAUGAGGAAGGUGAGGGAUCAGCCCAGAACUACAUGGCAGGACCUGGUCAAUGACCCGAUGAGAGCUGGGACCACAGUCUCAAAGAAAACCAUUAGUAACACACAACGCUGUCAUGGAUUAAAAUCCUGCAGCGCACGCAAGGCCCCCCUGCUCAAGCCAGCGCAUGUCCAGGCCCGUCUGAAGUUUGCCAAUGACCAUCUGGAUGAUCCAGAGGAAGAAUGGGAGAAGGUCAUGUGGUCUGAUGAGACAAAAAGAGAGCUUUUUGGUCUAAACUCCACUUGCCGUGUUUGGAGGAAGAAGAAGGAUGAGUACAACCCCAAGAACACCAUCCCAACUGUGAAGCAUGUAGGUGGAAACAUCAUUCUUUGGGGAUGCUUUGCUGCAAAGGGGACAGGACGACUGCACCGUAUUGAGGGGAGGAUAGAUGGGGCCAUGUAUCGUGAGAUCUUCGCCUACAACCUCCUUCCCUCAGUAAGAGCAUUGAAGAUGUGUCGUGGCUGGGUCUUCCAGCAUGACAACGACCCGAAACACACAGACAGGGCAACUAAGGAGUGGCUCCGUAAGAAGCAUCUCAAGGACCUGGAGUGGCCUAGCCAGUCUCCAGACCUGAACCCAAUUGAAAAUCUUUGGAGGGAGCUGAAAGUCCGUAUUGCCCAACGACAGCCCUGAAACCUGAAGGAUCUGGAGAAAGUCUGUAUGGAGGAGUGGGCCAAAAUCCCUGCUGCAGUGUGUGCAAACCUAGUCAAGAACUACAGGAAAUGUAUGAUCUCUGUAAUUGCAAACAAAGGUUUCUGUACCAAAUAUUAAGUUCUGCUUUUCUGAUGUAUCAAAUACUUAUGUCAUGCAAUAAAAGGCAAAUUCAUUACUUAAAAAUCCUACAUUGUGAUUUUCUGGAUUUUUGUUUUAGAUUCCGUCACUCUCAGUUGAAGAGUACUUAUGAUAAAUGCUUCUACAUGCUUUGUAAGUAGGAAAACCUGCAAAAUCAGCAGUGUAUCAAAU